AAAAAAAAGAAAGAAAAUAAAUGCUCUAAGAGCUAUCACAUUUCUCCUAACAAGUUCAUCUGAUCAUUCAAAGUUUGGCUCAAAAAAAUUGUUUUUGAUACUUCUGAUUUGAUUUUUGGAACAGAAACUUUUGUUUAUUUUUUUCAAUGCCACUGUACAAUUUUAUUAACCAUUCAAGUAUAGCAGCAUCUGGUAAAAUUGAGACAGAAUUAGGAUUGAAAAAUGAAUAGAUAUUCAGAAUCUAACAAUUUGAAAAAAACCACUACAUACUCUUUUCACAAACAUGUUUUCACAGAGCCAAUACAGCACUAGCCAUUAACCCAGUACACCAAGUGUGCUGAAGUAGAAAAGAUGCAACUAGAAAAGUAGCUACACUAGAAAAACCAACACUUUAGAAAAAGAGUAAAACACUUUUAAUUUCUCCCUGUUAUCCCCUAAAACAACAUCUUACAGUCUAGACCCACUUUUAUAGUCCUUCAUCAGCUUCCAGAAUAUUUGUCAGGAUGGAAAAAAUAAAAUGACACUGGCCAGUACAGUCUCUGGAUAUUUAGGUAAGAAAAGGGAAGAAAGUCAGUUCUCAGAACAAAUUAGUCAGCUUCAGUUUCAUCAGCAUGAUCUUUGUGUUCUUUGUUCUUCCCCCCUUUUAAAGUGUUUAUCUUUCUUUUGCAAAAGCUCCAGUUUGGCAGGCAUUUGUGCCUCUCAGCUCUCUUUGUUAGCUUCCAUUUUGUGGGUCCGUUUCUCUUCCGCCAUUUUACUUUGUUAUUCUCUUCUAUUGAGAAGCACUCUUCUCCAGUUCUUUCACCUGAUUAUCAAAAGAAGCCACAGUGAAAUGAAGACAAGAGACCAGCAGUGUAUUCUACACAAUCCACCGGGGCAAUGCAAAUUGUACAACUUUCAACUCCAAAAUAUCUGGACCACUUUCCAGCCAGGCUUAUUCCCUCCCUGCCAAGCAGCUGCCUCCUACAGCAACAGUCCAACAGAAGAUGAACACAUGGAAAGUAUUUCAUGCAUAAUUUUGAAUGGAUGGAUUUAAAGGCGAAAAGGACACUGAUACCAUUGCUAUAUUAUCUAUAAAGAAGCUGAAGUUCAAAUCUGCACUUGCCCAAGGUCACAUGACCUGAAAUGCAAAGCCUGGUCUCAUUUGUAUCCUCCUGAAUACCAAUCCUAUGUGAUCUUCAUUAUCCAAACAUGACUAUGCUACAGGAGCCAUGAUGUGGAAUAUGCAACAUCGUGUUUAACUUUCACAACACCCUAUAGAAUAAAUGUUAUUUCCAAUUUCAGAAUGAAGAAGCUGCCCCAGACAGGUGAGGUCAUUUUGCCUAGCAGAGCCUCAUAUGAAUAACCUUUCUAUUAUUUUGGUGUUUCUCAAACACUCUGGGGAUCUGAGUCUUUUCUUAGAAGUGUGAGCAUUCUCUUCAAAAACUUAUAAAUUUUGUACAUUUAUUUUAAAGAUAAUACUUAGAAAUCAAUGGAAGCUUCUUUUGGAUACUCAAACAACAUAGUAAAGUUUCAGUGUAAGCAUUUGUGUUCCUGCUUAUACACAUUAUAGUGUUUAUUCAACCUUUAACAAAUGCAUUGGCAAACAUGUCUGGCUCCAUCAGUUUGGCAUGCCCUCAGUCAAAAUGAUAGCUUUCCCAUAUUUGUACUCAGAGUUAAUUUUUUGCUAUUUACACAAUCAUACUUUUCUUUUGCAAUAAUAAUUCAUAACUGGAACAUUAUUAGAAUACUAGGGUAUUUAAUCUUUUGAGACAACGACAACUCUAGAAUCCUGCAUAGGAAAGAUGGCUUUAUUGGGUAGUUAUGAGAGCACUAAGAAUUUUCUUGAAGCUUCAUUGACAAGCAAGUGCAGUUUUAACUUAAUGUUAAUUUUGGGUGGGUGGGACAAGCAGAGGUUAUGGUGACACUAAAGUCCUCCAAAGCACCUUUGGUAACACAGGUUAAAUAGAGAAUUGAUUGAUGUCAUGAAAAUGCCACCAUAAUGCAGGGAAGUAAUUUUAUUAGGCAGAUUAAUGAUGAUAAAAUAGGUAGACUUAGUACCUUUUAUAGUCACAACAAAUAAUGGAGGACUGAUAUCAGAGUACAGUACAAGAGAAGUCUCAUCGUAGUUCAGAGGAAAGUCCUCCUAAUGGCAACAGUUAGCAAAAUGAGUUGGACUCAGAUUGUCCAAUUGCUCAAUACACAGAGGUCUCCGCAGCCAGAAAAACACAGGCAAUUGAGAGCAAUGUUUUUUAAAAAUCUAUAAAAUUAUAAACUUUAUUGAAGCUUGUUUGCUUCACUCUGUCAGUGACCAAAAAUAGUUUUUUUAUUAUAAUUUGGAAUGUAUUGUGCAUUUCAGUGGAUAUCUGCUGUUCUUGUCCAACCAUUUAUUUCAUCUCCUGGCGGAAGUAUCUGGGGUUUUGUUUUGGUUUGGUUUGGUUUGGUUUUGGCAAAGCCUUGCAAAAUCACUAAGCUGCCUGGCCUGGGCUUGAAUUUUCUAUCCUCCUGCUUCAGCCUCCCAGAGUGCUGGAAUUAUGGACAUGCGUCACCACACCUGGUUUAGUGUCCUGAUUUUUUUCAUUUGAAUAUCCACCCCUCCUCCAUGUUGUCCAUGUGGCUAGUGGCUACCUACUGGGUGGAGCAGGACAGAACAUUUCCAUCAUUGGAGAAAGCUCUGUUGGCUACCACUGAUUUAGAUCCCUGCUGUGACCAUAUAAAAUAAUAUUUAGUAAGGUACUGUAUAAACUUCAAAGCACUUCUAAAAAAUCCUAUUAUCCUAAUUAUCAUUAUGAUCAGUCAAAUUCAUUAUCAGUCACAGGAAGGCAGGGGUUUUCUACAAAUUAAUUGAGUCCUUUAUGAGCCGUGGCAAUCUUCCAGAUAAUUUAUUUAAGAUUUUAAUAAAAUGAUCAUUAAUCAAUUGUUAGUCAUCACAUAAUUUCUUGCUUGACUUCCUUGAUAUUGAACCCUCUCUGACUAUUCAACUUAAGUACAGGAAACUCUAAAGAUCCUUCACCUGAGCACAGGAGUGCGACCAGAGCUUUGUCCUUUGGAGAUAAAUUAGUGUUGAAUUUGGACAGCCAAAGGAUUAGGACCAGUAUGUGAUUUUUCAACUGGGUACUGAACCCAGGGCCUUCACGAUAUGCUAUAUCCAUAACCCUUUUUAUUUUUUAUUUAGAGACAAGGUCUUGCUAAG
rnacentral:lncRNA from 1 species